GCUCUUCCCCGGAAUCGCCCGGAAUGGGACUUUUUAAGACAUCUUGGUUUAAAUCCUAGCCAAGUGCCAAGGCGGUGUGGGCGUAGGCGGAGCGGGACAAACCACCUCAUUAGCACCUGCAGCACAGGGAGGACUGCCUGAACCGAGUGGUUUGGAACACCUGGAACGUGGAGGAAAGACUGGGGUGUUGCCAUUUUUCUCCCCAUCACAAACAAGGUAUAUGGUGGUAAAGUGUCCCAGGUGGAUUGACAGCUUAUACAAAGAUAUAGUAGGAGAAAACAAGAAAAUUAUGAGAACUACAGGGAAGCCAGCAAGACUGGAAUUCAGGAAAUGAGUCUAUACUAAUUCCACAAGGUCAACUGUCAAGAUAGCUCUGAUGCCCAGGAUACAGAGUCUCAUGUGAAUCAGCACCAAGUAAAGCACUGAGCUAGGAAAGUCACUUUCUGAAGGUGUCCGGGGCCCUAACUUUGCAAGUCACUUCAAGGAGAAGGUAGGGGAAAGGAUAUAUUUACUCUUCCUAUACCUUAAGAACGACUUCUUCUUUUCCUUCUCCUCCUCCUCCUCCUCUUCCUCCUCCUCCUCUCAAUUCUACCAGAUGGAGAUGUUGGUGAUCUGUUAAUCCCAGAAGCUAUCAAGCCAAAAACUCUGAAUUGCACCCCAUCAUAUUCCUAGUGGAAAGUGUAACCUGGGGAAAAAAAAGGGUUACAAGUCAAAAUCUAAUGAGGAGAUUCUAAACCAAG
rnacentral:lncRNA from 1 species